GGUGUUGUAGCUCAGUGGCAGAGCGCAUGCCCAGCAUGCACGAGGUCCUGGGUUCAAUCCCCAGUACUGCCA
rnacentral:tRNA from 1 species